rnacentral:rRNA from 1 species
UACAGAGGUCCCAAGCGUUGUUCGGAUUCACUGGGCGCAAAGGGUGCGUAGGCGGUUUGGUAAGUCUUAUGUGAAAUCUAUGGGCUCAACUCAUAGACUGCAUGAGAAACUGCCGGGCUUGAGUAUGGGAGAGGUGAGUGGAAUUCCUGGUGUAGCGGUGAAAUGCGUAGAUAUCAGGAGGAACACCUGUGGCGAAAGCGGCUCACUGGACCAUAACUGACGCUGAUGCACGAAAGCUAGGGGAGCAAACAGG